GUAGGUGGCAAGCGUUGUCCGGAAUUAUUGGGCGUAAAGCGCGCGCAGGCGGUUCUUUAAGUCUGAUGUGAAAGCCCACGGGCUCAACCGUGGAGGGUCAUUGGAAACUGGAGAACUUGAGUACAGAAGAGGAAAGCGGAAUUCCACGUGUAGCUGUGAAAUGCGUAGAGAUGUGGAGGAACACCAGUGGCGAAGGCGGCUUUCUGGUCUGUAACUGACGCUGAGGCGCGAAAGCGUGGGGAGCAAACAGGAUUAGAUACCCUGGUAGUCCACGCCGUAAACGAUGAGUGCUAAGUGUUAGGGGGUUUCCGCCCCUUAGUGCUGCAGCUAACGCAUUAAGCACUCCGCCUGGGGAGUACGGCCGCAAGGCUG
rnacentral:rRNA from 1 species